CUUCAACAUGACAGCCCUACAAACAAUGGAAAAUUGUCAUCUCUUCUUAUUCUUCUGUAACAGGCCUUUUCUUUAGGAGGCCUCUUCCAAAUUCAAGGAAAAUAAGAUACCAGUGUGAUGCUUCUGACCCACUGUGGAAAGAGUCUGCGCUCUGAGGUCCCUUCUCUCAGUGGCAGUUUCAAUGUCCCUAGAAUUGAAUGGACAGGUGAACGGACUCCAUGAGAACAAUGAUUAGAGAUGGGCAAUAUCCUUUAUGCCUUAUCAAAUCUCUCAGGAAGCUAGAAAUAUUGAAGUGGCCUAGACCUGAGUGUGACCAGCUGACAGUGUUGGACGAGUCUCAGCCUCUGAUACAGCAGGAUUGAAGGGACUGCCAAACUGAUUGGGCCCUUCCCAGCAAUGGUUCGUCAGAGAUCACACAGAACGUUGUGCUUCUGCGGCUCAAGAUGACAAGCUGUUUCUCACAUCGGACUUGUAGAGUGAAAGAGAACAACUCAGCUUAAUGAAGUGAC
ensembl:lncRNA